AUGCAUGUUCUUGGCUUGGCUUGGGUUCGUCCGCUGAUGGAGAUAGAUUUGAUUUUACCUGUACUUGCAGGGAAGAUAGACUCGUACGUGGUCGUGCAGUACGGGAGCCAGGAGCACAACGGCAGCACGACCCGAGCAAGGAUUGCUUUGUCCAACCUGCACAAGAAUGCCAAGAAGGCCUUCUCGGAGACGAUUAAGGACAUGUACCUGCACUACAAUGAGAGAUCUGGGCUGGAUGUGGUGGGUUUGAUGGGCAGCACAAAGAACAAAUUACUAUUGAUGCCACCUGAAGAAUUGAUCAAGGAACUGGCAAGGAUUUUGGAUAGAAAGAGGUGCUUGAUUGUUCUUGAUGAUGUAUCAUUUACUACCGAAUGGAACAUGAUAAUACCAAUUUUCCAUGGAAUGGAAAAUACAAGCCGAAUCAUACAAGGUCAUAUUAGCUCUAUUUUGAACAUAGCUAGGCCACCGCAAGCGGCUCGUGGCAUGGCAUGGCUGCAUGUUUGCGUGAUGGCAACACCACGACGAUCAGUCACCAUAGGUGGCUUCUUGGCUAGCCAACCUGAAAAACCUUUGGGAUGGAGGAAAUUAAAUGAUCAUAUCAGCGCCGAGUUGGAGAUCAAUCCAGAGCUUGGGACUGUUGAAUUACCCCUGCUCGUAACCUUGUACAUGGUGGAGUUUGUGCUGCCUGAGGUGUCACAACUGAAGCUGGCACACAAGAUCCAGGAGACAGAUCCACAGCAGAGAAUCCUGAGGUACUGUUUUCACCAGCAUGAUCUUCUGUGGCCGGAGUUAGGGAUGAUGCAGCAGCAGCCGAAACAGAAGAUCUGGCCGCACCAGACAAUGCUCCAGCCCCACGCGCCUCUGUAUCUUGGUGGUGGGGCAUGCCCUAGGCUGAUUGGCGAGUCGCACGCCUGA
rnacentral:rRNA from 1 species